rnacentral:rRNA from 1 species
GAUGAACGCUGGCGGCGUGCCUAAUACAUGCAAGUCGAGCGAACAGACGAGGAGCUUGCUCCUCUGACGUUAGCGGCGGACGGGUGAGUAACACGUGGAUAACCUACCUAUCAGACUGGGAUAAUUUCGGGAAACCGGAGCUAAUACCGGAGAAUAUACUGAAGCGCAGGGUGCAAUAGUGAAAGACGGUUUUGCUGUCACUAAUAGCUGGAUCCGCGCCGCAUUAGCUAGUUGUUACGGUAACGGCUUACCAAGGGGACGAUGCGUAGCCGAAGUGAGAGGGUGAUAGCCCACCUGGGAACUUAGACGCGGUCCAGACGCCUGCGGGAGGCAGCAGUAGGGAAUCUUCCGCAGUGGGCGAAAGCAUGACGGAGCAACGCCACGUGAGUGAUGAAGGUCUUCGGAUCGUAAAACUCUGUUAUUAGGGAAGAACAAAUGUGUCAGUAACUAUGCACGUCUUGACGGUACCUAGUCAGAAAGCCCCGGCUAACUACGUG